UAUUGAGGGUCAUUGUAUCUUGCACAGGAGCCAGAGUUUCCAUCCCUGCAUCAGUGAAAUCUCCACUUCCUGCUGACCAUACCAGCUCCACACUUUGUUGACAGUUUGCAGUUUCUAAAGAUGUCUUCUUCUUCUUCUUCUUCUUAGCAUCCACAGCUAAUCAAAACAGUUGAAAACCAAAGCAAAGCAGAUGGACAGAGGCACACAGGAAAUGGAGCAGCUGGAAGAACAAUAUGCUGGGGAAGAUAAAAACCACUCUUGAAUUAUGAUGAAUAUUAAUAAAACCUGGAGCAUUUAUGAAGUGACAGAGACAACAACUCAAUCAUUCAAAUGGAGGAUACAUUUUGCUCCAAUAAAACCAAAACGAAACCGAAUCGACUGAAAACUGAAAACGGAGACAUCAUUUGCAGUUGAUAAAAAAGGUGCCAAAUAUCUGUAUCUGUGAAUGCAGCUGGGUGGGAACGCCAGGAUCAGAUAGGAGGAGGAAGUGCACCAAAGUGCCUUUUAGCCAGGAAGCCAGCCCCCGAGCUUUGAGGCCAGCAACGGACCUCUGCAGAGCCGCCAGGCUCAAUUUCAGACAAGAGGCCGCAGCGCCCUGAAGCUGUGGAGUCAGUUAUGGCUCUCUGUGGCUGCUCAGUCGGCUUCAACAGCGAGCUGAAACUACACUGGGAAACUUUCAGCUUCUGGUCUAUUUUCUUUUCUAUUUCAUUUUAGUAUGGUCAAGUAUCACUUCUAGCCAAGCAGACACAUACAAGCAGACAGACAGAGACAUAGGAUUAUCUCUCUGUGUGAUUAGAAAAGAAGGGGAGCAGAACUGUUUAGGUCUGCUACGUAACCCUGCAGCUUGUUAAUUCUACAAUGAAAGUGAAGUACCAAAAAAAGGUACUGAUGGGUAUUGGUACCGAAUUCCAGGUACCUGUGGUAGCUGUCCAAAUGUGAACGAUCCCCAACUCUAAUCGUGACUUAAGUAUUAGGAAAACAUCCUAUCGUGGGGACUGUGGUAAUUCCCUCCCCUGCUGCCUGCCAUCACUUGAUGUUUAAAAAAGCAAACGCUACAGCAUUUAUAAACUGGUUGUAAGUUGAAUCAGUACGUGUUAUCUGAGUAAUUUAUUUAUAUGAAAAUGUCAUCUCUUUAAAUAGGACUACAGGAUUGGAAAGUGUGAGCCUUUUCAUCAGGAGCAGCCACUAUCCAAUCCCAUAUGUUACAGGAUGAAAUAUAACCGCAGGAUUCUGCCGGCACAGAGUAACAUGUUGCAUUAAUGUACUCUCUCCACUGCGAAGCCAUCUUCACGGACAGAACAUGCUCUUAACUGGGAGAGCUUGGCAAGCCAACAUUUCUUGAUGUACCUCAGGGGCCUAGGGGGACUGAUGUCCAAUUCUUUACACUUCCAUGGCUCCAAUUUUCACUCUCUAAUGGAGUGAAACAUGUUUCAGUACUAAGGAGUUCAAAAAAAGAUGGAGCUUCUGUUCCCUACAGCACUGCAGGGCUGUGGAGUCGCAAAACAGU